rnacentral:misc_RNA from 1 species
GAUGAAGAACGUAGCGAAAUGCGAUAAGUAAUGUGAAUUGCAGAAUUCAGUGAAUCAUCGAAUCUUUGAACGCACAUUGCGCCCGCCAGUAUUCUGGCGGGCAUGCCUGUUCGAGCGUCAUUUCAACCCUCAAGCCCAGCUUGGUGUUGGGGAUCGGCACAGGCGCCCUCGGGCGCCCGCCGUCCCCUAAAUCUAGUGGCGGUCCCGCUGCAGCCUCCUCUGCGUAGUAGUUUUCUCCUCGCAAGGGCAGCUCGGUGGCGACCUCGCCGUAAAACCCCCAACUUCUGAAAGGUUGACCUCGAGUCAGGUAGGAAUACCCGCUGAACUUAAGCAUAUCAAUAAGCGGAGGA